rnacentral:lncRNA from 1 species
AGAGAGCGUGAGCCGGAGAGGAGUCGCGAGAGAGAGUCGAGCGUGAGCCGGAGAGGAGUCACGAGAGAGAGAGAGAGCUUGAGCCGGCGAGGAGUCGCAAGAGAGAGAGAGCUUGAGCCGGAGAGGAGUCGCGAGAGAGAGAGAGCUUGGGCGGAGCUGGAUUCGGCGGAGAGAGAGGAAGAGAGAAAUGGGGAAGAAGAUCUGGUUCGACCAAAUAAUAAGAGGCGUCCGACGGAAAAUGUCCGUCGGAAUUUCCUCGGAAUAAUUAAAUAAUUCCGUCGGAAUUUCCUCGGAAACAAUUAAUUCAAUUUUCGCGAAAUAUGGUUUACCCGGUGAAAAACCCUUAGUUCCUCAUAAUAUGGUUAAGACACUUAAUGAAGGUUAUAUACGUGUUAUUCAAUCCGUAAAACGUUGUUUUCGGUUAAAAACCCCUAGUUCCUCGGAAUUUCCUCGGAAUAUACUGAGGGAAUUCCGAGGAAACCCUUAUCUUCCUCGGAAUUCCGUCGGAAUUUUCCGAGGAAAUUCCGAGGAAAUAGACUCUAUAAUCAGAUCCCUAAAUCGACAAGGUCUAUUCCGAGGAAAUUCAGAGGAAAACCUAUCUUUCGUCGGAAUUUCCU